UAGGGGUUUGGCCUCUUCUCCCAGGCAACAAACAAGACUCCUCUGGUGCAAGUUGCUUCUCUGCUGUUUAUCUUCCUAUCACACACAGGAUGGAUUACAGUGCAUUUCUGUGUUCGGGGGUUUACACUGAGGUGUACUUCAGAUUCCAAGUCCUAUGAGAUGUGGGGAAAAAAGGGAAAAGAUGAGCAACUUGACUGGAUGAAAGCAGUGACUCAGGCACAAGCAUGGACAUCGAGAGCAUCACUCUCCCCUCCUCCCCCUUUCCUGCCUCUCCCAGCUGGACAUGGUAGCUGGAGAGCCCAAUCUGAGGCUCUAGAAGCAAAGAAGGACAGAAGGUUCUUCAGGAUCCAGGUUCACCUCAGAGAGGAGGGAGAGAGGCUUAUGCACACGCCAAGAAGCAGAAAAUCUGCUGUAUCCCAGAUAGCCUGAGGGUUCGUGUUUUGUUUAAUAGCGUGUUCAUUAUGAUUUCACUCAAAGUAUACCAUAGGAGAUGGAGUCAGUAAUUGAGAGCCUUUGAGGGUCUAAUCACACUCAUUAUUUGAAUCUCCAAGUAUAAUAACAAACACACAGACUGUGUGGGCUGUCACUGUUGCAUGUUUUCUCUUUACUUAUGCUUUUUCUAGGAUGCCUUCUCUAGAGAGAAAAGAGAGGAAUUGGUGAACAUAUUAGGACAUACUGCAGCCAGAAAGACGUGGAUAUCAAAACGAGAUGAACUGGAUUUCUUCUUUGGAGGUGUCUCUAUAAAAGCCAUUGAUGAGCCUAAGGAAGACUGAAUCAAGUCUCCCUAUUUCUGACAGCAGUAAUGUUAUUAAGCAAAGCAGUGUCAUGGUGAAUAGGAGAUAAUCAUCCCACUUCAGAUUAGCUGGAUGUAUCAGAUCGUGCUUUCAAGCCAGGCUUCCACUGGAACAUGCCAUUUAUUGGAAGAAAUUUUUUCAAUAACAUCUGAUCAUCUUUUCCAGAAAAGUGAACAAAAUACAACUUCAAGGCACCUUACGUAAGUAUGGGGCCUCUUAGGAGGGGGGGGGGGGG